rnacentral:miRNA from 1 species
UAAUCUGAAGACCUUGUUAAAAUGCAGAUUUGAUCCAGAAAUUCUGGACAUUCUACAUUUCUAACAAGCUCCUAGGUGAUGC